rnacentral:rRNA from 1 species
CUGGUGUGGUGCAGCCGGCCCGCCACGGUGACGUGUGUGAGUGCCGGCUUGGCCAAGCCAUCCUUCUAGCGACACUGGUGCUACUCUUCACUGAGCCGGUACCAGCGCACUAGAUCGUUUACUUUGAAAAAAUUAGAGUGUUUAAAGCAGGCGUUGCAGGCUAUGAAUACAUUAGCAUGGAAUAAUAAGUUAGGACUUUGGUUCUAUUUUGUUGGUGUUUGCGGACUGAAGUAAUGAUUGAUAGGGAUAGUUGGGGGUGCUAGUAUUCAGUGGCCAGAGGUGAAAUUCUUGGAUUCACUGAAGACUAACUUAUGCGAAAGCAUUC